AAUCGAAGCAGUGAACUUAAGCCCCAGUAAACGGCGGCCGUAACUAUAACGGUCCUAAGGUAGCGAAAUUCCUUGUCGGGUAAGUUCCGACCCGCACGAAAGGCGUAACGAUUUGGGCACUGUCUCAACAACAGACUCGGUGAAAUUGUAAUUCCGGUGAAGAUGCCGGAUACCUGCGACAGGACGGAAAGACCCCAUGGAGCUUUACUGUAGCUUGACAUUGGGUCUUGGUACUACAUGUACAGGAUAGGUGGGAGGCUUUGAAACCAGGACGACAGUUUUGGCGGAGCCAUCCUUGGGAUACCACCCUUGUAGUACUGGGACUCUAACCAUAGGCCAUGAAUCUGGUCUUGGGACACUGUCAGGUGGGCAGUUUGACUGGGGCGGUCGCCUCCCAAAAGGUAACGGAGGCGCUCAAAGGUUCUCUCAGUACGGUCGGAAAUCGUACGUAGAGUGUAAAGGCAAAAGAGAGCUUGAUUGCAAGACAUACAGGUCGAGCAAGGAUGAAAAUCGGACUUAGUGAUCCGGUGGUUCUGCGUGGAAGGGCCAUCGCUCAACGGAUAAAAGCUACCCUGGGGAUAACAGGCUUAUCUCCCCCAAGAGUCCACAUCGACGGGGAGGUUUGGCACCUCGAUGUCGGCUCAUCACAUCCUGGGGCUGUAGUAGGUCCCAAGGGUUGGGCUGUUCGCCCAUUAAAGUGGUACGCGAGCUGGGUUCAGAACGUCGUGAGACAGUUCGGUCCCUAUCCGUCGCAGGCGUAGGAAAUUUGAGAAGACCUGUCCUUAGUACGGGAGGACCGGGAUGGACGUACCUCUGGUGUACCAGUUGUCCUGCCAAGGGCAUGGCUGGGUAGCUAUGUACGGAAUGGAUAAGCGCUGAAAGCAUCUAAGCGCGAAGCCAACUUCAAGAUAAGAUUUCCCACCGCAAGGGUAAGACCCCAGAAAGACUAUCUGGUUGAUAGGUCGAAGGUGUAAGUGCAGCAAUGUAUUUAGCUUAUCGAUACUAAUAGGUCGAGGACUUGACCAAU
rnacentral:rRNA from 1 species